rnacentral:rRNA from 1 species
UACGGGGGGGGCAAGCGUUGUUCGGAAUUACUGGGCGUAAAGGGCUCGUAGGCGGCCAACUAAGUCAGACGUGAAAUCCCUCGGCUUAACCGGGGAACUGCGUCUGAUACUGGAUGGCUUGAGAUUGGGAGAGGGAUGCGGAAUUCCAGGUGUAGCGGUGAAAUGCGUAGAUAUCUGGAGGAACACCGGUGGCGAAGGCGGCAUCCUGGACCAACACUGACGCUGAUGAGCGAAAGCGUGGGGAGCGAACAGG